AUUGAACGCUGGCGGCAUGCCUUACACAUGCAAGUCGAACGGCAGCACGGGUGCUUGCCCCUGGUGGCGAGUGGCGAACGGGUGAGUAAUACAUCGGAACAUGUCCUGUAGUGGGGGAUAGCCCGGCGAAAGCCGGAUUAAUACCGCAUACGAUCUACGGAUGAAAGCGGGGGACCUUCGGGCCUCGCGCUAUAGGGUUGGCCGAUGGCUGAUUAGCUAGUUGGUGGGGUAAAGGCCUACCAAGGCGACGAUCAGUAGCUGGUCUGAGAGGACGACCAGCCACACUGGGACUGAGACACGGCCCAGACUCCUACGGGAGGCAGCAGUGGGGAAUUUUGGACAAUGGGCGAAAGCCUGAUCCAGCAAUGCCGCGUGUGUGAAGAAGGCCUUCGGGUUGUAAAGCACUAUUGUCCGGAAAGAAAUCCUUGGCUCUAAUACAGUCGGGGGAUGACGGUACCGGAAGAAUAAGCACCGGCUAACUACGUG
rnacentral:rRNA from 1 species